UGCGGCUGGGAUGCCUCCCUGUAGUCCACGGAGGGAAAGGACAGCAAGGGCCCCCAGCAACAAGUGCCACCAUAGGAGCAGUUUACUGGUGCUGCCUAGCCCUGCUGUUGACUCCACUGACAUCUGGAACACCACAGCCUACCUGGCUCCCAGGAAGAGAUCAACCCACACUCUCCCACAUUAUUCAGGCACUGGGUCACUCGGAGGCACCUGCCCAAGGCCCACGUGGCUAGGGCGGCUACCCUCUGCGAAUGGGAAGCUGCCAGUUUCAGUCUGCACUGAUGAGGAGUGCAGCAGACAUUGUCGACCCCUGGGGAAAAGACAACUCCCAACCCACUGACUUUUCAAAACACACCACCUAGUCAUGAAAGCCGCUGACUUUAUUGAUCUAAAAACAGUGACUGUUCUGUCCAAAAAAGGGAGCCAAAUGGCAUCAUACAGACCAGAGAUGAGGUGGAAGUGAGGGAAAGGGGCUGGGAAUCCACUCAAGAAAGCUGGCAAUUGUCGCCAAGGAACUGGCAAGGGAAGGAUGAGGAAGGGAGAUGCAUGCAAGAGUGACAUUUCCAAAAAAGUUGAAAUGGUGUGGGGGAGAGAACUCCCAAAAGACCCUUGAAUACACCAGAGGUGAGUAUGACAACAG